GUACUGAUGAAGAGUCCCAAACUAGGACGAAACGCCUCUCCAGUAC
rfam:Trichobilharzia regenti genome assembly, scaffold: TRE_scaffold0066975